UAUAGUAGGAAACAAAAUGAACGAAGUUCAUUUUUUAUAAAUGUUUCCGACGAAUAGCCGCUGACAGAAGGGCAGGGGCAUUACAUAUU
rfam:Eubacterium sp. CAG:156 genomic scaffold, scf123